rnacentral:rRNA from 1 species
UACAGAGGUCCCAAGCGUUGUUCGGAUUCAUUGGGCGUAAAGGGUGCGUAGGUGGCGCUGUAAGUCGGGUGUGAAAUUUCGGAGCUUAACUCCGAAACUGCAUUCGAUACUGCGGUGCUUGAGGACUGGAGAGGAGACUGGAAUUCAUGGUGUAGCAGUGAAAUGCGUAGAGAUCAUGAGGAAGACCAGUGGCGAAGGCGGGUCUCUGGACAGUUCCUGACACUGAGGCACGAAGGCCCAGGGGAGCAAACGGG